GGUUCAUUUGACACUGAAAACGAGAAUAACAAUCUUUCUCUCUCUUCCUCAUGAAACCAGAUUCACCACCUUCCAUCCUCUACUCCACCUCCUGUCAUUCACCACUUUCCUAAAUCACCAAAACAAAAUGGAACCCAAAACCCACCAUUGAUGUUGCACAAAAGUAAAACAACAUGAAAUCACCAAGAUAUGAGACACCCAGAAAGGUAGUACCAAAUGUGUGAGCAACUUGGUGUAUAAAUUAGAUUAAAAGUUUGGAUUUAAUUUUCUGGGAGGUUUUUAUCUUUCGUCGGUGGUGGUAGGUGUGGUGGUAGGUGAACGGGCAAUGGUGAAGGCGAUUGAUUGGUGGUGAAGGUGGUGGUGGGUGUGGUGGACGAUGGUGAAAGUGGUGGUUGUGUGGUGGACGCUGGUGAAGGUGGUGGUGGGUGUGGUGGACUGUGGGAAAGAUGGUGGUUGGUGUGGUGGAUGGUAGGAAAGGUGGUGGUUGGUGUGGGUGGUGGGCUGGUGGCCUAGUGAGGGAAGGAGAAAGAAACACAUAAUAUAUCUUUUAGAAAGAGAAAAAAAAAAUUCUGCAAAAAUAAUUUUUUAUUAUUAUUUUAUUAAAGUUAA